rfam:Callithrix jacchus chromosome 10, whole genome shotgun sequence
GGCUGGUCCGAGGGCAGUGGGGUUUACAACUGAUUGAUCACAGCCAGUUACAGAGUUCUCUGUUCCUUCUCCACUCCUGCUGCUUCACUUGACUAGCCUCAA